CGUACACUCCUACGGGAGGCAGCAGUGGGGAAUAUUGGACAAUGGGCGCAAGCCUGAUCCAGCCAUGCCGCGUGAGUGAUGAAGGCCCUAGGGUUGUAAAGCUCUUUCACCGGUGAAGAUAAUGACGGUAACCGGAGAAGAAGCCCCGGCUAACUUCGUGCCAGCAGCCGCGGUAAUACGAAGGGGGCUAGCGUUGUUCGGAUUUACUGGGCGUAAAGCGCACGUAGGCGGACUAUUAAGUCAGGGGUGAAAUCCCGGGGCUCAACCCCGGAACUGCCUUUGAUACUGGUAGUCUUGAGUUCGAGAGAGGUGAGUGGAAUUCCGAGUGUAGAGGUGAAAUUCGUAGAUAUUCGGAGGAACACCAGUGGCGAAGGCGGCUCACUGGCUCGAUACUGACGCUGAGGUGCGAAAGCGUGGGGAGCAAACAGGAUUAGAAACCCGAGUAGUCCCA
rnacentral:rRNA from 1 species